rnacentral:rRNA from 1 species
AAGCGAAGCCGCGAGGCGGAGCGAAUCCCCAAAAGCAGUCUCAGUUCAGAUUGUAGGCUGAAACUCGCCUAUAUGAAGUCGGAAUUGCUAGUAAUCGCGGAUCAGCAUGCCGCGGUGAAUACGUUCCCGGGCCUUGUACACACCGCCCGUCACACCAUGAGAGUCGAUAACACCCGAAGCCUGUAGUCUAACCGCAAGGAGGACGCAGUCGAAGGUGGGAUUGAUAAUUAGGGUGAAGUCGUAACAAGGUAAC